rnacentral:rRNA from 1 species
AACUUGCCCCAAAGGUCGCACGAGAAAGCGGGAGCAAUCUCGCAAGUAAAGUGGCGUACGAGUGUAGAGUAACACGUGGGUAAUCUACCUUUUAGUGGGGAAUAACGCUGGGAAACCGGCGCUAAUACCGCAUAAUCUCGAGAGAGGAAAGCAGCAAUGCGCUGAAAGAGGAGCCCGCGGCCGAUUAGCUGGUUGGGAGGGUAAAAGCCUACCAAGGCAAAGAUCGGUAGCCGGCCUGAGAGGGCACACGGCCACACUGGCACUGAAACACGGGCCAGACUCCUACGGGAGGCAGCAGUGGGGAAUCUUGCACAAUGGGGGAAACCCUGAUGCAGCGACGCCGUGUGUGGGAUGAAGACCUUCGGGUCGUAAACUCCUUUCGACCGAGAUGAAUUCUCGCCGGCCUAACAUGCCGGCGGGGUGACAGUAUCGAGGGAAGCAGCCCCGGCUAACUCCGUGCCAGCAGCCGCGGUAAUACGGGGGGGGCAAGCGUUGUUCGGAAUUACUGGGCGUAAAGGGUUCGUAGGUGGCCAACUAAGUCAGACGUGAAAUCCCUCAGCUUAACUGGGGAACUGCGUCUGAGACUGGAUGGCUCGAGUGCAGGAGAGGAACGCGGAAUUCCAGGUGUAGCGGUGAAAUGCGUAGAUAUCUGGAGGAACACCGGUGGCGAAGGCGGCGUUCUGGACCAUAACUGACGCUGAGGCGCGAAAGCUAGG